rnacentral:rRNA from 1 species
CCCAGACUCCUACGGGAGGCAGCAGUGAGGAAUAUUGGUCAAUGGGCGCGAGCCUGAACCAGCCAAGUCGCGUGAGGGAGGACGGCCCUACGGGUUGUAAACCUCUUUUGCCGGGGAGCAACGGGCGUCACGUGUGGCGCCACUGAGAGUACCCGGAGAAAAAGCAUCGGCUAACUCCGUGCCAGCAGCCGCGGUAAUACGGAGGAUGCGAGCGUUAUCCGGAUUUAUUGGGUUUAAAGGGUGCGCAGGCGGUCUGUUAAGUCAGCGGUCAAAGCCCGGGGCUCAACCCCGCCCAGCCGUCGGAACUGCCGGGCUAGAGUGGGCGAGAAGUGCGCGGAAUGCGUGGUGUAGCGGUGAAAUGCAUAGAUAUCACGCAGAACUCCGAUUGCGAAGGCAGCAUGCCGGCUCCACACUGACGCUGAGGCACGAAAGCGUGGGUAUCGAACAGGAUUAGAUACCCCCGUAC